UGGAAUUUGACGAACUCUUCCUGAGGGCUGUCCUUCAUGUGCUGAAGGCAAAAAGGCUGGGGGUGUGGCUCUUCAUGUCAGAGAUGCCCUACGGAACCCUGUCCAGCAGUAUGCUCUGGAAGCUCUUCUCCAUCAUGCACUGUCCGGAAAGCGAGAACCCAGAGAAGUCCCGUGCCACCAUGCGCCUUGCCGACUGCAAACGUGAACUCAAAGACCCAGCCCACCUGGAGAAGUUCACCAAGUCCCUGCAGUCGAUGAACGGCUCCGAGGAAAUCUGCC